GGGUGGUUAGUUCAGUAGUUUGAGCAUGGUGUUGACGACAAUGGCAACACCGAGGUCGCAGGUUCAAUUCCUGCUCGGUCCC
rnacentral:tRNA from 1 species